AUCCCAGAUAGGGUUGUUUUUAUAUUUGUGAUUAUCUGAUUCAUGGGAGGGAAAUAACAAUGGGAGUUCUCAGAUAGCACCUUUUGAUCUUAGAAAGGUGUUUUACUAUUACCUCAUGGUACAUGU
rfam:Populus trichocarpa isolate Nisqually-1 chromosome 4, whole genome shotgun sequence.